rnacentral:rRNA from 1 species
AGUGAACGCUGGCGGUAGGCCUAACACAUGCAAGUCGAACGGCAGCACAGUAAGAGCUUGCUCUUACGGGUGGCGAGUGGCGGACGGGUGAGGAAUACAUCGGAAUCUACUUUUUCGUGGGGGAUAACGUAGGGAAACUUACGCUAAUACCGCAUACGACCUACGGGUGAAAGCAGGGGGUCUUCGGACCUUGCGCGAUUGAAUGAGCCGAUGUAGGAUUAGCUAGUUGGCGGGGUAAAGGCCCACCAAGGCGACGAUCCGUAGCUGGUCUGAGAGGAUGAUCAGCCACACUGGAACUGAGACACGGUCCAGACUCCUACGGGAGGCAGCAGUGGGGAAUAUUGGACAAUGGGCGCAAGCCUGAUCCAGCCAUACCGCGUGGGUGAAGAAGGCCUUCGGGUUGUAAAGCCCUUUUGUUGGGAAAGAAAAGCAGCAGGUUAAUACCCCGCUGUUCUGACGGUACCCAAAGAAUAGGCACCGGCUAACUUCGUG